rnacentral:lncRNA from 1 species
UAAAUUAAUAUUGUUGUUCUGCUUUUAAUGGUUUGUGGAAUUAUACAUAAAACAUUCUGUUACAAUAGGAAUGAUUGUUUGAUAAGAAGGUGCCUCUGUGAUGGUCUGUUUCAACACUGAUCAUAAAAAUUGAACAAUUGUUAAUUUUCUAUUAUUUCCUUCCAAAACACAAAUUAUGUACUUUUCGUAAAUGUAUUUGUAUAUUCAGAUAAGUAAACUACAGCCACAGCAUUCAUUAUACCUGCACACGCACCAAUGAGAUUUGUUCAAAUAUCCCAAAUAUACUAUAGCCUUCGCUUUAACAUUUAAAAGGCACAAGCCGGGCUCUACUCAUCAACAUAAAAGAGAUUGAUAAACCUGGCUGACCCAAUAAUGACUAUUCUAAUGGUGAUGAUGACUUUAUAUAACAAACUGCUCAUGACACCCUGAGUAAAGGGGUUAGAAGAUAAAGGAACACUCCAAUCACCAUAACCACUACGGAGGAGUAUAUGGUGACAAGUGUGCUGGAAACCACCCAAUUUACCAAUUUGUUAACAGUUUGACUCCUUAGCUAGGGUCCAUCGCUAAUGGCUUCUUGGACAUCUGUAAGCUCUCUGCUCUGAGCUAUGCUCGGUGUUGCUCAACAAGCAGUUUGACUGCCUAUAUGGGGUGGAAGGUGUACCAUAACCACUACAGUGUGCUGUUGUGAUUAUGGUGCUUGGAGUGUUGCUUUUCCUGUAUACAUUUGUAAGCAUUAUUUUGAUGUUUAAGUGGAUUAAUAUGUGCUUAAUUUAAAUGGAAUCUAUAAUAAUGGAUAUAUUUUAUCUGGUUUUCUCAACAAAUGAUGCCAUCCAGCUACGAUGUCAUAGACACAUAUAGAAGCAACGACAAGUAAAGCCAAGGAACAAAAAUUGCAUUUUGGUAAUGCAGAGUGUACCAUAGCAUUACAAUACAAGUUAUACCAUCACACUACCAUCUUGUCUCAGCAUUUUUAUAUUUUGUGGACUCCAGGAAAAAAAGUUUAUUUUAGCCAUGUUGCAUGUCAUGUUCUCAAGAGUACAGUGAUAUCUUCUACUCCUGUUGUAAUUUUCCAAUGUCUUCAUCUUCCUAAUUUAAUUUGCACUUGUGUCUGGUCCAUCACAGCCUUAAAGGGCAAUCCACAUCAUAACAAGAUAAUCAAUCAGUUGGUGAGGAGCAUGUAUAGAAGUUCUUAAUAGCCAACUAUUGAAUCAGGUACGGAGGUCAUAAUUUUAUUUAAUAAAAAAAAAAAAACACAACACACAGUAGGCCUCUGCUGUGUUAAAUUCAAAACUCCUGUUCCCUCCACUAAACAGUUUGUAUCUACUUCAUUAAAAGAAAAGAAAAAAAACAGAACAGAACUACCAAUAUAUUUUACAACUUACAGCCCACAUGGACAUGUACUCAAUAAGGAGUUUUUAUUCAUAAUCAAAAUCUGGUGGUAAACCGUUGAUGUCUGCAUAAAACCUGCAGACCUACAUUUGGACAUCCCACUGCAUAACUGCAAUAUAUAUGGAGACAGCAACUAGCAUUGUCUUUUAGUGUUAAACAGAAACGUUGGUACAUUACAAUAAGCACUUAACCAAGAAAAACAACAAAUUGUCCCUUUCCCCGCCCCCCCUCCCAAUGAGGGCAUAACCAAAGUUAUUUUACACUAAGGCCUGCAACAGCUAAACAAAGUUCCUAUUAUGAAACACAAGAGAAAUCCGCUUUGGGACAGCCUCGAGCAACUUAAAGCGAAUCAGGCAGAACUGAAAAUAUGAAGGAUAAACGUUUUAUAAUAAAAUAGGGAACGGCAGUAGACACUCCUAUCCACAACAAAAACACGGAAAAUUAUGGCAUGUUUUAUAAUAAAUGUACAUGGAUUUGAGUGUCUUUCAAAUCCAUUAAAAUUGGGUAAUUUUCUCUUUUUUUCCUUAUAAUACAGAAAAUGUGAACACCGCAUUAUAUAACAACCAAAAUCAAUGCAGAAUGAAAACAAUCAAUGGUGUAUCUUCUUCUAAACACCCAUAAUAAGUAGACCAAACAAAAACUUUUUAGCAGAAAUUUGUUUUUUUGGUGCUGCUCCCCUCCUCCACUAUUGUUCAGUGAAUGUAGGAAGUUGAUGAGUAGGUCAGAUGAUCUCAGCCAAUGAGCAAAGCCCCCUACACUGAUGGUCUAUUUCAAUGAAGAGAGCACUUGGCUCUCACUGAGCUGUAGAGGAAGCAGUGAGUUGAGUCCGAUGGAACUGAAGAAUUCAAAAUUCACUAAAACGGUUUAACCGCCGGUGAGAUAGGGGUGGGUGCACCAUAAUCAAUACACUGUUGUGGUUAUGGUGUUCAGAGUGUUCAUUUUAGCAAUACUGGUAAGCGAAAAAAAAUUACAUUUGCUUCCUGUUUGUUUUAUACUUCAUUUAUAAUUGGUGCUGGAAUCAAAUGAAGCAGGUUAGUAGCUAUACCCUACAAGCAUAGGCAUUUCAAAUAUAAAUAAAUUGCUGUUUUUCUAAUUUUGGUAAAAAAAAAAUAAAAAAAAAGUCUAUUUUACACAGAGCAAUUUUAAAAUUGUAUGCUUCACUUUAUUUCUGUUGGGAU